UCCCAAAGGCAACCAAAUCUAUUAGAGAAUUACUCCAAGUUGGGGUGAAAACUUCUUGCAUUCCAGAAGUUCGAUGGUAUUGAGAAGGUGAAUCACAGUAGCUAACUCAACGCAAGGAGUGCAAACACUUUAAGUGCUUCAGAAGUGUGAGCAAAGAGCAGGCGAAGGCUAGUAACCAGCUCGAUGCAUGGAGUACAAUCUCGAGGAGGCGGGCGAAGUCAAGUA
rnacentral:lncRNA from 1 species